GGAAGCACACGCACUCCCGUUACGCCAGGAUUGCCCAGGCGUCGAGCCGCUCUUACCCGCUAGCCCCAGCCCCGGUUGCAGGAGAACCUAUAUAGGAAAAAGUGAACUCUCAUAGUAGAAGAAAAUGACAAUCCACAGAGUUUGGCACCCUUAAAACAAUACUCUCCCUCAAAGAUGCAUCGGUCUGCUUCAAACUUAAAAAGAUGAGUAAGAUCAGUAAAGCUGGAAAACACAUAGAACUGAGUCUAAACCUUUACGCUGAAUUGGAGUCUCUUUCUACAGCUAUGGACCCAGAAGGAAUCUCAAAUCUCAGUGAACUCUGUUUCAGGUCCAGUGAGAAGUCGCUGUUGAACACCCUGAGGACUGUAUUUACUCAGUGAACCAACCUGUGUUGGAGAUGGGAAAGAGCAUUUCUUCUCAUGGUUCCUCUGAAUGCAAUAGCCUGCUGUUUGACUAUGUGCGUACUGGAACUGGCAGUCAAAUCUCUGCUCAGUACCAGUUAGUGAUGGUAAAAAUAAUAUUCCAGAAUUGUUUUCAGUUUGAGGGUGAGGAUGAUCACAAGAACACAGGCACUUUUGGAUGCACAGCACUGUGAUGCGAGAAGAUAUUUGGGAAAAUCCUUUUUGCUCUAAAUUCAAACCACUUUUAUCGAGAUGCAUCUAUAUUUGGCAUUACCGGAGGAUUAAUUUGGUCAUCAACCUAUUUCUUCAUGUUUGAUAAAAUUUCAUUUCAGAAAUAAAGGAUUUAUAGCUUACUUUCCCUCAAUGCACGUUAUCAUUUAUAUAACUGACAGCUUCAGUUGUUAAAAGCAGUACAUGAGGUUUUUUCCAAUAA